AAAAAAUUUUUUCGUCUUUCAGCGCUGCUACUUUCACACCGAAAACUAUAUAGGGGACCCAUUCACACCCUUAAGUAUUAUCACUCAGUUUUGUUACACCCUGUAUA